rnacentral:rRNA from 1 species
UAGGGAAUCUUCCACAAUGGGCGAAAGCCUGAUGGAGCAACGCCGCGUGUGUGAUGAAGGGUUUCGGCUCGUAAAACACUGUUGUAAGAGAAGAAAAUGACAUUGAGAGUAACUGUUCAAUGUGUGACGGUAUCUUACCAGAAAGGAACGGCUAAAUACGUGCUAG